rnacentral:rRNA from 1 species
GAUGAACGCUAGCGGCAGGCUUAACACAUGCAAGUCGAGGGGCAGCAUGAGACGGAGAUUCGUCAAAGUCUUGAUGGCGACCGGCGCAAGGGUGCGUAACGCGUGAGCAACUUGCCCGUUUCAGGGGGAUAACCGGUGGAAACGUCGACUAAUACCCCAUAGUAUUGAUUUAAGGCAUCUUUUAUCAAUUAAAGAAUUUCGGAAACGGAUGGGGAUGCGUUCCAUUAGGCAGUUGGCGGGGUAACGGCCCACCAAGCCUUCGAUGGAUAGGGGUUCUGAGAGGAAGGUCCCCCACACUGGAACUGAGACACGGUCCAAACUCCUACGGGAGGCAGCAGUGGGGAAUAUUGCACAAUGGGGGGAACCCUGAUGCAGCGACGCCGCGUGAGCGAAGAAGUAUUUCGGUAUGUAAAGCUCUAUCAGCAGGGAAGAUAAUGACGGUACCUGACUAAGAAGCCCCGGCUAACUACGUG